ACUACGGGUGGCAGCAGUGGGGAAUAUUGCACAAUGGGGGAAACCCUGAUGCAGCGACGCCGCGUGAGUGCAGAAGUAAUUCGUUAUGUAAAGCUCUAUCAGCAGGGAAGAAAAUGACGGUACCUGAGUAAGAAGCCCUGGCUAACUACGUGCCAGCAGCCGCGGUAAUACGUAGGGGGCAAGCGUUAGCCGGAUUUACGGGGUGUAAAGGGAGCGUAGACGGCAGUGCAAGUCAGGAGUGAAAGGCGGGGGCUCAACCCGCGAACUGCACGUGAAACUGGACGGCUGGAGUGCAGGAGAGGUAAGUGGAAUUCCUGGUGGAGCGGUGAAAUGCGUAGAUAUUAGGAGGAACACCAGUGGCGAAGGCGGCUUACUGGACUGUAACUGACGUUGAGGCUCGAAAGCGUGGGGAGCAAACAGGAUUAGAUACCCUAGUAGUC
rnacentral:rRNA from 1 species